UACGGAGGAUGCGAGCGUUAUCCGGAUUUAUUGGGUUUAAAGGGUGCGUAGGCGGUUUAUUAAGUUAGUGGUUAAAUAUUUGAGCUAAACUCAAUUGUGCCAUUAAUACUGGUAAACUGGAGUACAGACGAGGUAGGCGGAAUAAGUUAAGUAGCGGUGAAAUGCAUAGAUAUAACUUAGAACUCCGAUAGCGAAGGCAGCUUACCAGACUGAAACUGACGCUGAUGCACGAGAGCGUGGGUAGCGAACAGG
rnacentral:rRNA from 2 species